rnacentral:ncRNA from 1 species
CUUGUCGGGUAGGUGGGAAACUUGCCCGAAUGUAGUGGUAACACUACAAAGCAAACUGACUCAUAUCGGUGAAAGCUAAAUCCUUAUGCUAUGGGGAUAUGCUAAUACCGAGGGAACACCUUAUAAUUAAGGUGACCCGUAACGACUGAGCCGAAAGGCGAGGUUCUGCUGUAAAGCGGAACAACACGUCAGCUCUUGUCUAGCAAACAAACUAUGGAUAUCGCGAAAACGAUCUCCUACGGUUUGCGACAAGAUGAAGGUAUAGUCUGAUCUCUAUUGAAAAAUAGAG